UGGGGAAUAUUGCACAAUGGGCNCAAGCCUGAUGCAGCCAUGCCGCGUGUAUGAAGAAGGCCUUCGGGUUGUAAAGUACUUUCAGCGAGGAGGAAGGCAUUAAGGUUAAUAACCUUAGUGAUUGACGUUACUCGCAGAAGAAGCACCGGCUAACUACGUGCCAGCAGCCGCGGUAAUACGUAGGGUGCGAGCGUUAAUCGGAAUUACUGGGCGUAAAGCGAGCGCAGACGGUUACUUAAGCAGGAUGUGAAAUCCCCGGGCUCAACCUGGGAACUGCGUUCUGAACUGGGUGACUAGAGUGUGUCAGAGGGAGGUAGAAUUCCACGUGUAGCAGUGAAAUGCGUAGAGAUGUGGAGGAAUACCGAUGGCGAAGGCAGCCUCCUGGGAUAACACUGACGUUCAUGCUCGAAAGCGUGGGUAGCAAACAGGAUUAGAUACCCUGGUAGUCCACGCCCUAAACGAUGUCAAUUAGCUGUUGGGCAACUUGAUUGCUUAGUAGCGUAGCUAACGCGUGAAAUUGACCGCCUGGGGAGUACGNNNNNAAGAUUA
rnacentral:rRNA from 1 species